GCAGUCGAGCGAGAAGUCUCUUCGGAGGCGAGUAAAGCGGCGCACGGGUGAGUAACACGUGGGCAAUCUGCCCUCGAGUCUGGGAUAACCCGGGGAAACUCGGGCUAAUACCGGAUACGGCUGCGGGGUCUUUGGACCCUGCGGAGAAAGACGGCCUCUUCAGGAAUGCUAUCUCUCGAGGAUGAGCCCGCGUCCUAUUAGCUAGUUGGUGGGGUAACGGCUCACCAAGGCAAAGAUGGGUAGCUGGUCUGAGAGGAUGACCAGCCACACUGGAACUGAGACACGGUCCAGACUCCUACGGGAGGCAGCAGUAGGGAAUUUUGGGCAAUGGGCGAAAGCCUGACCCAGCAACGCCGCGUGUGGGAUGAAGGCCCUCGGGUCGUAAACCACUGUCAGGAGGAAAGAAAAGCCGGCCGGGUAAUAUUCGGUCGGCCUGACGGUACCUCCAAAGGAAGCACCGGCUAACUCCGUGCCAGCAGCCGCGGUAAUACGGAGGGUGCAAGCGUUGUUCGGAAUUACUGGGCGUAAAGCGCGUGUAGGUGGUUGAGUAAGUCGAAUGUGAAAGCCCCGGGCUCAACCCGGGAGGUGCAUCCGAAACUGCUCGACUAGAGUCCCGGAGAGGAAGGCAGAAUUCCCAAUGUAGGGGUGAAAUCCGUAGAUAUCAGAAGGAACAUC
rnacentral:rRNA from 1 species